rnacentral:rRNA from 1 species
UACGGAGGAUGCGAGCGUUAUCCGGAUUUAUUGGGUUUAAAGGGUGCGUAGGCGGAAGUUCAAGUCAGCGGUAAAAUCGAGGGGCUCAACCCCUUUAAGCCGUUGAAACUGGGUUUCUUGAGUGGGCGAGAAGUGUGCGGAAUGUGUGGUGUAGCGGUGAAAUGCAUAGAUAUCACACAGAACUCCGAUUGCGAAGGCAGCACACCGGCGCCCUACUGACGCUGAGGCACGAAAGCGUGGGGAUCAAACAGG